GUUCCAGCCCCCCUCCUACAAGCAGAGUUGCCAACCACUAGAUGAAGUACUAGAUCAGAUUGCCCAGAGCCCUAUCCAAGAGGCUGCAGCAGUUAAUGUAGAAUGUAUACCCUCUGAAGUCCCUACAGGGCUAGAAGAAAAUCUUUAGCUGGAUGGCAAACUCAAUUUGCUUCCCACAAGGCAGUACAAGCAGUGGCGGAGUGGGCUGGAUUAAGAAUGAGCAGCAGUGAGUCACAAAUCAUUGUCAAUUCACUGAUAAUCACCGGAGCCACGCUCCACAGUGACAACCUGGCACUGUCAGUGAUGCCUUUCUGUUGAUGAGGGUAUCCUCGGCGGGACUGCAGGGAGCUUCACUGCAAAAAUCAGGUGUUAUCUUUCAGAUGACAUAUGAAUCUCAGGUCCUGACCACAUACAGGAAGAGGAGGAGAUGUGUGUCGUUUUUCACUCCAUAUCCACAGGCCCUGAUCCCACAGGCUGGAGCAGAUAAGACAUUAUCAGACCCACCUUAGCUGUGGUACAAAUGGUCUUUAAUCUUCUUCAGCCAGAGUAAGUUUCUAAAAGCA
rnacentral:lncRNA from 1 species